AUGAAUAUCGAUCAAUUAUCCGACUUUUUGCUGGAAGUGUCCAAGUCUGGAGCAGCGGUGCCGAAUAAAUUGCCGGAUAAACGAGAGGAAAAUCAUCUGAAGAAGAAAUUCUUGAAUAAAGUUGCUCCAAAUUCCUUAUUUGCCGCCAAUUACAUCGCUUCAAACUACACAGAUGUGGAUCUAAUUCAAUCGAUAAUUGGUCAAAUUCUAUCGAUUUAUUAUAAAGAAGGAGUGCUCAGGCUCUAUGCUCUGCAAUUUGUGCCGGGAUUUGUGUCACUUUACCUAUUGGCUCUGUCAAAAAAGCAGCAUAAGAGCAUUUCUUUGUUCGAAACCUUCCUUAUUGCGAUUUAUAAUGAAGAAAUUGUGGAUGGCUCGGAAUCUAACGAGAAAAAGAUGGAAGACAUCAGAAUCCCCUCAAUCCGCCAUCAUAGCGUCUACCACGAUCCGGCGAAAAUUCAAGUACAAACCGAUGUUCCUGUAAUGAGAAAUGCAAGUAUUACACCGGUUUUGAACACGCUCCGCUUUGGUCCAUUUCCGUCGGUAUCCAAGAUGAACGGAGAAAAUAAAUUCAUGAUUAUCAAUAGAAUUUUAUUUUCUGUAAACGAGUCACUUUUCGAAGUUGCAAGCGAAGUUGCGGCGAGAUAUGUCUGUUUGGGAACGCUUUCAGUCUGCCGUUCUGGCUUCACAUUCCCGGAGACUGCAUUCCGUAGCCGUGUGCUCGACACUGAAUCUCACGAGAUUAUCGAAGAUUUUUCAAAAAAACCACGUCAGCAAGUGUCCGGAGAGUUUUUGAAUCAUUUGCUACGUGGAUGCUAUUUGGCACUUUUCAAUGGAGCCGCCGAUUUGGCUCUGCAGGCAAUUGAUGCUAUUCAUUUGAGAGCACAAUAUGAAAUGCUUCCCGAUACGCUUUUGGUCGUUAACUCCCUCCGUAACUCACUUUUGGACAACAUGUGGAGCAAGGAGAAACGAGGGGAACUCAUGUGGACACGGCCACAGCAUAAGGACCAAACAAAGCGCCGCGACAUGGUUACGAACGCCUCACUGAAAAUGAAACGAAUGCCUGAAGAUAUUCCAGUUUUGGAACGUCAAAAAGAAUCCACGUCGUCACGAUUCAACGAGCUUAUGGAGGAGGGAAUCGAUCAUUUGCAUGAUUUGAAGAAAAAAGUGGAAAAAGUGAAGGGAGGACUGCAUCAGAAGAUGCAUAGACGACGAAAAAGUGUGGAACCCGAGGAAAAUGAGCUGCAGACUAUUAAAGUACGGCGGGGUUUUGGAUGGAAAUUUUGGGGAAAAAUCGGAGGAGGAAAACGGGAAAAAAAGUGCCAAAAACCGUUUGAAAAUGCACACAAAAACACUUAAAAUAUGCUGAAAACAAAAAUCGAAUUUUGUUAAAAAUCUUUAAAAAAAAUCGUCGAUGCACCAUGUUCAAAAUGAUUUUUUUCACACCAAAACUUGACAGAAUUGACAGAAAAAUCGAUAUUUUGUUCAAAAAAAUGCGGGUAAAAGCAUAAAAACUUAUCGAUGCCCCAUGAUUGAAAAAUAUCUUCUGAAGAAUUUAAUCUGAGAUUUUUUUUAAAGUUGGAGUAGGGAUUUUGGGUAGAGUGACAGAAAAUAGAGUCUAAUGACCAAAUAUACGAUUUUUUUUUUCAAAUUUAAAAAAUCAGGCAACACAAUUUUUGGCUCUACUCCACCUAAAGUUCCGCUAAAAAAUCCAAAUUUCGCUAAAAUAGAAAAAUGAAUCGAAAUUCAGUUUUAAAAAAUUCUAAAAAUUUGAGAAAUUUCGGGGGAAAAGAUUUUGAAAACCCAAAGAAAAAAUUAUUGAAAAUUUUAAUUUCCAAUUUCAAAAGCCUCCAACUUCUUGCAGGAAGAAAAACCAACGGAGAGCUCAUUUUCCAACGACAGUGACACGUCAUCACCGGCUACAGUAAUCCAUAAGCCAAUUGUACUGAAUGGUGAUGAUGUUGAACGACGAUUACGGGAUUUGGUAGUUGUUGAGCACGAUUAUGAUAAGGAUUUAGAGAAAAAGAAAAACGGCCACGAAACUCCAACGACGUCUCCAAAAGAAAAAGGAGCAUUCACAAUGGCGGGUCUCCGGCAUAUGGACAGUGGUGGGAGCACUUAUCGAUCAAUUGAUAGCUAA